rnacentral:rRNA from 1 species
CCCUUAGAUGUCCUGGGCUGCCCGCGCGCUACACUGAUGUGUCCAGUAAGCACCUAACCUCUUCCGAAAGGAACGGGUAACCUUUGCAAAGCACAUCGUGAUGGGGAUAGAUUAUUGCAAUUAUUAGUCUUGAACGAGGAAUUCCUAGUAAGCACAAGUCAUCAGCUUGUGUUGAUUACGUCCCUGCCCUUUGUACACACCGCCCGUCGCUCCUACCGAUUGAAUGUUCCGGUGAGCUCUUCGGACUGCGCGGUCUGCAGUUUCUGCGUUCCGUGCGGAAAGUUGCGCAAACCUUAACAUUUAGAGGAAGGAGAAGUCGUAACA